rnacentral:rRNA from 1 species
AACGAACGCUGGCGGCAGGCUUAACACAUGCAAGUCGAGCGCCCCGCAAGGGGAGCGGCAGACGGGUGAGUAACGCGUGGGAAUCUACCCAUCUCUACGGAAUAACGCAUGGAAACGUGUGCUAAUACCGUAUACGUCCUUCGGGAGAAAGAUUUAUCGGAGAUGGAUGAGCCCGCGGUGGAUUAGCUAGUUGGGGGGGUAAAGGCCUACCAAGGCGACGAUCCAUAGCUGGUCUGGGAGGAUGAUCAGCCACACUGGGACUGAGACACUGCCCAGACUCCUACGGGAGGCAGCAGUGGGGAAUAUUGGACAAUGGGCGCAAGCCUGAUCCAGCCAUGCCGCGUGAGUGAUGAAGGCCCUAGGGUUGUAAAGCUCUUUCACCGGUGAAGAUAAUGACGGUAACCGGAGAAGAAGCCCCGGCUAACUUCGUGCCAGCCGCCGCCGUAACAC